rnacentral:rRNA from 1 species
UACGUAGGGGGCAAGCGUUGUCCGGAAUCAUUGGGCGUAAAGAGCGUGUAGGCGGCCCGGUAAGUCCGCUGUGAAAGUCCAGGGCUCAACCCUGGGAUGCCGGUGGAUACUGUCGGGCUCGAGUCCGGAAGAGGAGUGUGGAAUUCCUGGUGUAGCGGUGAAAUGCGUAGAUAUCUGGAGGAAUACCGGUGGCGAAGGCGGCAUCCUGGACCGAGAUUGACACUGAUGAGCGAAAGCUAGGGGAGCAAACGGG